GACGAACGCUGGCGGCGUGCCUAAUACAUGCAAGUAGAACGCUGAAGGAGGAGCUUGCUUCUCUGGAUGAGUUGCGAACGGGUGAGUAACGCGUAGGUAACCUGCCUGGUAGCGGGGGAUAACUAUUGGAAACGAUAGCUAAUACCGCAUAAGAGUAGAUGUUGCAUGACAUUUGCUUAAAAGGUGCAAUUGCAUCACUACCAGAUGGACCUGCGUUGUAUUAGCUAGUUGGUGGGGUAACGGCUCACCAAGGCGACGAUACAUAGCCGACCUGAGAGGGGGAUCGGCCACACUGGGACUGAGACACGGCCCAGACUCAUACGGGAGGCAGCAGUAGGGAAUCUUCGGCAAUGGACGGAAGUCUGACCGAGCAACGCCGCGUGAGUGAAGAAGGUUUUCGGAUCGUAAAGCUCUGUUGUAAGAGAAGAACGAGUGUGAGAGUGGAAAGUUCACACUGUGACGGUAUCUUACCAGAAAGGGACGGCUAACUACGUG
rnacentral:rRNA from 1 species